CCCUUAGAUGUUCUGGGCCGCACGCGCGCUACACUGACGAAGUCAGCGAGCAUGUCCUACGCCGACAGGUGCGGGGAAUCUUGUCAAACUUCGUCGUGAUGGGGAUUGAUUAUUGAAAUUCUUGAUCAUCAACGAGGAAUGCCUAGUAGGCGCAAGUCAUCAGCUUGCGUCGAUUACGUCCCUGCCCUUUGUACACACCGCCCGUCGCUCCUACCGAUUGGGUGUGCUGGUGAAAUGUUCGGAUCGGCCGUUUGUCGCGGUUUCCGCGGCUCGUGGCUGAGAAGUUCAUUAAACCCUCCCACCUAGAGGAAGGAGAAGUCGUAACA
rnacentral:rRNA from 1 species